rnacentral:rRNA from 1 species
GUGGGGAAUCUUGCGCAAUGGGCGAAAGCCUGACGCAGCCAUGCCGCGUGAAUGAUGAAGGUCUUAGGAUUGUAAAAUUCUUUCACCGGGGACGAUAAUGACGGUACCCGGAGAAGAAGCUCCGGCUAACUUCGUGCCAGCAGCCGCGGUAAUACGAAGGGGGCUAGCGUUGCUCGGAAUUACUGGGCGUAAAGGGCGCGUAGGCGGACAGCUUAGUCAGAGGUGAAAGCCCAGGGCUCAACCUUGGAAUUGCCUUUGAUACUGGCUGUCUUGAGUUUGGGAGAGGUGAGUGGAACUCCGAGUGUAGAGGUGAAAUUCGUAGAUAUUCGGAAGAACACCAGUGGCGAAGGCGACUCACUGGCCCAAUACUGACGCUGAGGCGCGAAAGCGUGGGGAGCAAACAGGAUUAGAUAUCCUUGUAGUCC